GCCUCAGUAGCUCAGCUCGGUAGAGCACCUGUUUCGUAAACAGGGGGUCGGGAGUUCAACUCUCCCCUGGGGCU
rnacentral:tRNA from 2 species